AUUCCUGCCUGUAAAGGGCGAUCAGCAUUAUACUCGCAUGGAAUUAUGGGAUUCUUGUCAGCUGCAAUUGAGUUUCCCUGAACUUGGCCUCCUGCCUUUGUGAAAGUGCCGGCACUGCCUUCCCUCCUCCGCAGCUAAUCGUAAGCAGGGUCUUGGCCGCUGCUGAUAAUUCUUCAAGCACUCCUUCUGAACAACUUCUCUGUCCUGGGGUGGACUACUCUGUGCCUGACCCAGAGACUUCUGGAGUCCUGGUCUGGAUCAAGGAAUGGAUCUGCCAUAGAUACGAUACCGGCCUUCCUCCCAAAGCAGCCCAGGGCAGCAAACACAUCUAUAAUGAAAAAUAAAAUAAAAACGUAUUUAAAACUUUUACAACCUGUUAAAAUAUCUAAGAACAAUAAAGCACAAUAAAAUAUCUAAGACAAA